UUUUAAUUUGUUUAUGUUGUAGAAACUAAAUGUAAAAUAACGAUGCUAACUCUGUGACCUAUUUUCAACAUGGCGGGUACUAGGAUUAUCACCGGAGCAACUGUGGAGCAAAGCACAUCGUCUUCACAGUGUUAAAACAUAAUACUUUCUUAAAUUUAUGAAGAACACACACUAGAGAUGCUUAGGUACAUCUCAGAAGGAUUGGUGUGCACCAAAAUAUAACAAGAAAUGACCAUAGCAGCUGGUCGUCCUUAGAAUGUGCAUUUUUUGGUUGAACCACUUCAGACUGUUGUCAGGCUUGGGUUCCUCAAUAUAUCCAUCUCAUCGAUUUAGCUCUGGAUGUUUGUUGUAAGGGCUUUGUUACAUGUGUUAUCAUAA